rnacentral:lncRNA from 1 species
GAAGUGGUCGGAACUAAGUAGGCUUCUGCGGAUCAUCCGAUUCCGGAGCAACAUUUACCUGUUAUUCCUGAGUAAAUUGAGGAUCCAAGUAAGGUCGUGGUCCCUGCGAAAAGCGUCACCGUUACCUCCUGCUUCUCACGACUUCCGGGAUCCUGGUUUUCCUUCCAACAUUUUCAAUAUAUCAUGCCCAUCCUCUUCCGGCCUGCAAAGUUUCUGCUGCAAUCAGCUCAUGGCCUUAUGGGAGUUCCUUUGCAUCACUUAAGGAUUCUUCUAGAACAAUGGGAUGAAGACAGAGCAGCAGGAGAACUAGUAAUACUGGUGGCGAUUAUGGAAAUAAUGCAUUAGAGGAUCCCAGCAGGAGAAAGGGACCAGGACCGCACCCGAGGCAUCUGGACGUUCCCAGCCCUGGAGUCCAAUCAGAGCUACAGCUGUUGACCUACUGCACAGCUCACAGCAAGGCCGGAUCCCUGACCCAUUGAGCAAGGCCAGGGAUGGAACUGCAUCCUCAUGGAUAGUAGUCUGAUUCAUUCCUCUGCGCCACAGUGAGAAAUCCAUCAUGGUCUUUAUAGAAAAGUUUUAUUUCUUCAUUAAUUUAGGAACAUUCACACACUACAAAGGUUUAGAGACUAAACUUUAGGGCCACCUCUUUUCUUCAAGGAGCUCAUAUUCCAAUGUUGAUAAACUUUGAAUAUGAUAAAUGGCUUUAAAAAUCUACUGAUAGAGAUGCAGUGAUUUGUUAAGAAUAGAAGAUAAUUUUACACUCACUGAAUCAGGGUUGGCCUCACCCAGAAAUGGAGUUUGAAGCACAGCUGGGGCAGGGGCAGAGUUUGAACUUGGGGAGUUAAAGAAGGGGAAACACUCCAGCACAGAGGCCAGGAAUGAGUUCAGCCCGGCAGUUAGUACCAGGAAGUCAAGCCAAAAAUGUGCACUGGAGCCUGAUGAGAGUAAUUCUUAAAUCCUAAAUAAUAAAUAAAAGCUUCAUGUCAUUUCUUUGAGCAAAAUUUAUGGAGUGCCUGCUAUAUUGCAGGCAGUUUUAUCAGCUAAUGAUACCAAGAUAAAUAAACUCAACCCACUGCUGAGAAUCUGGCUAAGCUAUUCCACAGUACCACUGCUAGGUAUGCAUUCUGUGUGGUUGGGUGGCCUUCAUGGGGCCUUGAACUGACACCAGCCCCUCAUGGGAAGGAAGAGCAUGCCCAGGGUCAGGUCACACACAAAUGGACAAAUGGACAUUCUAACGUUACCCCCAGAAGCCUUGUGACCAGGAAUCUCCUUCUUCUGUUUUUUUUUUUUUAAUUUUUAUUUAUUUAUUCAUUCAUUCAUUUAUGUAUUUAUUACUUUUUUUUUUUGCUUUUUAGGGCCGCACUUGUGGCAUAUGGAAAUUCCCAGGAUAGGGGUUGAGUCAGGGCCACAGCUGCCGGCCUGUACCACAGCAAUGGGGGAUCCUAGCCAUGUCUGUAACCUAUACUACAGCUCACCACAAAGCCGGAUCCCUGAUCCACUGAGCUAGGCCAGGGAUCAAACCUGCAUUCUCAUGGAUACUAGUUGGAUUCGUUUCUGCUGCACCACAACAGGAACUCCUGGUACUGCUUUUUUAUAAACAGGAUCAUCAGGGAAGUCCUUCCUGAUGACAUCUGUGGUACUGGAGCCCAGAGCUGAGUUACAGGAAUGGCUGUGCAGAAGCCAUGGCAGGGAUGAGCCAUGACACUAUGGCCAUGGGCUCCAGGAACCUGCAAGGCAGCUGGAUGCCUGCACAGGUCCUGAAAAGAAGAAAAGUGAUUUACUCCAGAGGUGGUCAGAAGGGAGGACAGUAGCACUCAAACCAAGGAAAAUUAAUUCCAUGAUCUGACUCCCAGAGACAGCUGAUGUGUUGACAGAAUUUAAGAAGGAGGUCACUAGGGACCUUUCCCAGAAUUCAGGGGGGAGCAGGGUGUUAAAAAUAGAUGGGAGGAGGAGUUCCCGGUGUGACUCAGUGGGUUACAAACCUGACUAGUAUCCAUGAGGACUUGAGUUCAAUCCCUGGCCUUGCUCAGUGGGUUGAGGAUUCCACAUUGCUGAGGCUGUGGUGUAGGCUGGCAGCUCUAGCUCCGAUUAGACCCUUAGCCUGGGAACUUCCAUAUGUCGCAGGCUCUGCCCUAAAAUGCCAAAAAUAAAUAAAUAAAAAGGGGAAAAAAAACAAAAAUAGAUGGGAAGAAAGGAAACAGCCACUUUUUCAAGAAAUGUGGCUGUGUGGGGAAGGACAUGGCUGGUCACCAGAGAGCACUAUGGGGUCAAGGGUCUAACUCUUUUCUUUUUUAAAACGUGAACUACAUCUGUUUUGAUAUACUGAUUGUGAGGAAGAAAGGGAGUAGUAAUUGGAUCAAGGUUCCAGAGGCGUGGAGACGUUAGCAAUACCCACGGGAAGACUCUCUUAAUGAAAGACUAGGGAGGGAAAAUAGAAGUGCUGCUGACAUGGAUGUUUGCAAUUGAAGGGCAGGGUCUGAUUUUGAAGCUUGAUCAUCUCCAUUUUCUCUGGGAAGAGGAAUUCUCUCUUGCUAUGAGUUUGGAUAAUGAGGUUUAAAAGUUUAAGGAAACUGGAAGUCAUUAAAGGUUUGAAGUCUAGCUGCCUGGGAAUGAGAGUUGCCUCAAAGUAGGAAGAGUCUUUCGCAGACAGCCCUGCUGUCACUGAGAGGAAAGGCUCUCCUCUAGUGGAAAUGCUGUGCUGAAGGCAGACGUAGCUUUCCCUUAAGCCAAGGGGGCAGAUGAAGUGAGGAGGACACGGUGCUAGGACAGAAUCCAGGGCACUAGGACAGAGCAGAAAAGGUGUGCAGGCAGGAGGGUGGAGGUUUUGAUCAGAGGGCUCAGAAGCCCCUGACUUUAAGGGAGUAAGAAUAAGGCAGAAAAUAGAGAAGUAGAAGCUCAUUUGAAUGAGAAUCAAGAAUGAUGAGGGUAUUAGCUGGUCUCAAUUUAAAUUACUGUAUUAAAAGGUACCUUUACCGGAUUGUCCGGAGUGUCCGCUGUGGCUCAUGAGGAUGCGGGUUUGAUCCCUGGCCUCAUUCAGUGGGUUAGGGGAUUCAGCAUUGCCUGUACGUCACAGACACACAUGUGGCUUGGAUCCCACGUUGCUGUGGCUGUGGUGUAGGCCGGCAGCUGGAGCUCCAAUUUGCCCCCUACCCUGGGAACUUCCAUAUNAAAAAAAAAAAAAAAAAAAAAAAAAAAAGUACCUUCAGCAAAAACAUUUCCAUUGCCAUUAUUUUUGGGAAAGGAAAGUGGGCAAAGGGACGAGGGAGGGGGGUGGAGGGAUACUUCAGACUUCACAUUCUUCCAGACUGUCAGGGAAGAUGUCAUGCCAUGAACAUAUACUAUAAUGACUAUUAAAAAGCUGGAAAGAGGAGUUCCCAACUUGGCACAUCGGAAACGAAUCCAACUAGGAAUGAUGAGGUUUAAGCUUCCAUCUCUGGCCUCCAUCAGUGGGUUAAGGAAUUGGCGUUGCCAGGAGCCGUGGUGUAGGUCACAGACAGCUCAGACCGGGCGUGGCUGUGGCUGUGGCUGUGGCAUAAGCCAGCAGCUACGACUCUGAUUAGACCCCUAGCCUGGGAACCUCCAUAGGCCAUGGGUACAGCCCUAAAAAGACAAACGACAGAAAAAAAAA